AGUUUAGUAGAUUUAUUGGACAGAAGCAGAGGUAACAGUGACAACAGGUGAGUAGAUUGUGGUUGUAGAGGUGAAGGAUGAAUGAAUGGGUGAUAAUACUGUCCUUUUGUGGUUUGCAGGUUGAUGGCGGUGGCAGACUGGAGACAAUGCUGGUGGAUGACACUCACACAGACUUGGAGCACACGAGGUAGCACGGAGACACAGGAGACAGGUAAGUAGCAAUAGGAGUCCUUGAGGUAAGCAUAGAGGUAAGUUCCUUGAUGCGAACGAGACCGGACAAUGUGACUGAGUGUGUGAGUGUCUUAAAUAGUGUUCGUGAUGAGUGUGCUGAUGAGAUGCAGGUGGCAGUGAUUAGUACUCAGGGGAAGGUGUGUGUUGUGAUUGGUGGGUGCUGGAGCCUGGCGUGUCUGUGACAGUACCCCCCCCUCCACGGCCCACUCCUGAGGGCCGAGGACCCCGACGUCGUGGUGGUCUUCCUCUUCCAUGAGGGGCAGGUCUGUUGGGAUGAGCAGCGUGGAAGGUGUCUAGCAGGUUGGGAUCGAGAAUGUCAUUACGGGGAAUCCAGGAACGUUCCUCAGGACCGUAACCCUCCCAGUCCACGAGAUACUCAUGUCGUGGAUUAAGUCUCUCUUUCUGAUUGUGAAGUUCCUGCUUAUCUGAGCUGUAGAUCCUAAACUGAGAGAUUGAAGAGUGUCAUUGUUCUCUACAGGUUGUGGGAUUGUGGUGUCACAGAUGAAGGUUGUGCUGCUCUGGCUUCAGCUCUGUAAUCAAACUCCUCACACCUGAGACAUCUGGAUCUGUCAGGAAAUACACUAAGAGACUCAGGAGUGAAUCUCCUCUCUGAUGGACUAAAGGAUCCUCACUGUAAACUUGAGAUACUGUGGUUGUGGGAUUGUGGUGUCACAGAUGAAGGUUGUGCUGCUCUGGCUUCAGCUCUGAGAUCAAUCCCCUCACACCUGAGAGAACUGAAUCUGUCUGGAAAUACACUCUCAGAUGUGAAUCUGCUCUCUGAUCUGAAGGAUGAUCCACAUUAUAAACUGGAGAUGCUUCGGUUUUAGAUGUUAGUCUGACCUUCUCUGGAUCAGCUGAUGGUGAAUAAAGAGCCACUACAGACACAUCACACUCCAUAUUCUCCAGAUCAAUAUAUUUCAGUUGUUUCAGAUAUUUCCCCCCUUUCAAGACAUACUACUGAUCCAUGUUUCAAUCCAAAGUAGCGUUUGAUGAUAAUCAACAAACUGCUGUUUACUGCAGGUCAUUUCUGGAUGUCUGUAAACCAUCGCUGUUGUUGUUUGUCUCCAGUGACAGAAGCUUCUGUAUGUAGUUUUGAGGCAAGACGUUCUGUUGAACCCCUAAACACACAACCUAGAUGGAGAAAUGAGACAAGAUAAACACAUUUAAUUUAAUAAGAGAGACAUGAGAAUGUUACUAGAAACUCACAAAUGUUUAUGGUCUAUAAUCUUGUACGUAAUAUUGUUGUAACACACAUAUUGAAAACAUCUUCAUCUCCAGUUAAAUUAAACUUUUAAACACUUGUGCUCUUUAAUUAAAUAUUAUGCUUUAGUUUGGACAGUCCAGCUUAUGAUGGGCAGUAAAAUGUACCUUUUUAUACAGUGAUGAAGGUGGAAAGGGUCUGAAAUUGUUUAUCUUGUACUUUUGAUCAGAAUGUGACAUCUCACUGAUUUCCUUUUUUAUACGUUUCUUAUAUCAUGUAGCUUUAAAAUUUUGUUAGUUAUUUUUGUUUGUUAUUCCCUUUGUUUGUUUUUUUAUUUUUCCCUAGACUUAUGUUUGUUAUUUGUGGUUAUUGUUAUAUUUGUAAAAAAAAAAAAAAAAAAAAAAAAAUCUGCAUUGAUUGAACGGUGGUGUGUGAUCCCUCUUUUAUGUUGCGGCUUGAAAUAAGCUGGCCUUAACAGUCAUUAAAUUCAUCUUAAUUACUGUUUUAUUACUGUUUUAUUACUUGAAAUAAGCUGGCCUUAACAGUCAUUAAAUUCAUCUUAAUUACUGUUUUAUUACUGUUUUAUUACUUGAAAUAAGCUGGCCGUAACAGUCAUUAAAUUCAUCUUAAUUACUGUUUUAUUACUGUUUUAUUACUUGAAAUAAGCUGGCCGUAACAGUCAUUAAAUUCAUCUUAAUUACUGUUUUAUUACUGUUAUUUAUGUAAUUGAGUUAAUUUUGAUGACAGUGGUGGCAAAUACCAAUUCUCCACAGUUUUAUUGUAGUAACACUCACUGCUGACCUGGUACCAUGCUAAAUUUAAGGGAGAUCAGGGGCCGUAUUCACAAAACUUUUUAUCUUACCACUAAGAGUUCUCCUAAAUAGGAGUAAAAGUUCUUAGCUAAGAGUUUUCUCUUAAAACCUAUUCACAAAGCUGCUGAGACCAACUUUUACUAAGGAAUAGACUGAAGUCUUAAGCUAAGAGUAAGGGCGGGGUUGAACUUGUUGCUAUGGAGUAUGCACACAGUGAUUGGCUGAUGGGGGAGGAGUCAGUGAUUUAAUCAUAGAAAUAUUGUAGAAUGAGGUAUCAUGUUUCCAUAUUCAAAUAAAGGUUUUAAAAUGUAGGCUAAGUGUCACUAAUUAAACUAGUAUAUCCAGUUAAUUGUCCGCCUCUUGGAUGUCUGCAUCUCAAGAGAAUGCAGAAUUCAAGCGACAAAUUAUGUUUUAU